CCUCAAACUCUAAAAAAAUUUUUAUAAUCGAUAGUGAAAAGUACUGUGAAGGAACGUUGAAAAGAAUCUUUUUUAGAAGUGAAAAGAACAUGAAAUUUGAUAUUAAUAACUUGUUGAAGUUUUGUCUUAUAAAGACAGAAUGCCAAUUUACCUUUUGUAUCAUGGACUAGCAAGUUUAUUUUUGCAGCAAGCUUAAGUUAAAAAAACGUAGGCUUAGUUAACACAAGUAUAGAAACAAAAAAGUUGCAAGAAUAAAACCCGAAACCAAUUGAUUUAGCCAUGAGCAGGCCAAAAAUAUAAUAAAUUAUAUAUCAGGGCCGUAUUCUUAGUUGUUGCAAAAACUUGAAAUGACUUGUGGUUAGGGGUGAAAGGUCAAACAAAAUUGGUAAUAGCUGGUUUCUUGCGAAAAAUAUUUAAGUAUUGCGUAAAAAAAGUUUAUAAAAGGUAGAGCUCUUUUAAAACAAAAUUUAUAUAAGUUUUGAAAAACUUCAAAUGUUUAUAAGUUUAUUUUUGCAGUCAGACUUUAUUGCGCUAAGGUUUAAAGUCAAGAGGGAAACAGCCCAGAUUAUUGUUUAAGGUCCAUAAAAAAAAAUUUAGUAUUAAAAGAAUGUAAAAAGGAUUUUGCUAGAAGAUAAGCUUAGAAUCAGCUAUUCUUUAAAAAAUGAGUAAAAACAUACUAGCAUUUUAUAUUGACUUUUUAUAUCAAAGAUUCAUUGGAUUAAAUUUUUUACCGAAGACAUAAACUUGAAAAAGUGGUAGCAAGACGUUUUU
rnacentral:rRNA from 11 species